AUGGCGGAUGUAAGUCAUGAGUCAAUGAUGGAGUACUAUCAUAUUGCCAACAAGAUGUUUAAUAGUGAGGAUGAAGGUUAUAGAUUCUAUAACAAAUAUGGUCUUGAGAAAGGUUUUAGUGUCCGGAGAAGCUAUGUCGAGUGGGACGGAUCCAACUGCCAUAUAAUUUUAAGGAAAUUUAUGUCCAGUCGUGAAGGGGUUCGUGAAGAGAAGAACAUGAAGAGGAAGAUGGAAGAUAGAAAGAGGAGGCCACGGAGUAUAACUCGUGUAGGGUGUAAAGCUAAAUUGGUGAUUGCAAGACAGGAGGAAACAGGUCAGUGGUUUGUGAAGGAUUUCAUCGAUGAACACAACCAUCCCCUAGCCCCACGGGAUCUGUCGUGUCUUUUGCGUUCACACAGAAGAAUUAGCGAUGAGCAGAAAGCGGACAUUGCAGAUAUGGAAAAAUCAGGGAUCAGAAAACACCAUAUUAUGGAUAUUAUGUGCAUGCAAUACGGUGAUAUGAUGAGGUUGGAUGCAUUAUGA
rnacentral:rRNA from 1 species